rnacentral:rRNA from 1 species
GACGAACGCUGGCGGCGUGCUUAACACAUGCAAGUCGAACGAAGUGGCGAACGGGUGAGUAACGCGUAAUCAACCUGCCCUUCAGAGGGGGAUAACAGUUGGAAACGACUGCUAAUACCGCAUACUGAAGGAGGGGAUUGCGUCUGAUUAGCUAGUGGGAGGGGUAACGGCCCACCAAGGCGAUGAUCAGUAGCCGGUCUGAGAGAGUGAACGGCAACAUUGGAACUGAGACACGCCCCAGACUCCUACGGGAGGCAGCGGUGGGGAAUCUUCCGCAAUGGAGGAAAGUCGGACCGAGCAAGCCCGCGUGAGUGAAGAAGGUUUUGGGAUCGUAAGACUCGUUUGUUAGAGAACGGUAUCGAACCAGAAAGCCACGGCUAACUACGUGCCAGCAGCCGCGGUAAUUC